rnacentral:rRNA from 1 species
CUACGAAGGGGGCUAGCGUUGUUCGGAAUCACUGGGCGUAAAGCGCGCGUAGGUGGAUCAAUUAGUUGAGGGUGAAAUCCCGGGGCUCAACCUCGGAACUGCCUUCAAUACUGUUGAUCUUGAGACCGAGAGAGGUGAGUGGAAUUCCUAGUGUAGAGGUGAAAUUCGUAGAUAUUAGGAAGAACACCAGUGGCGAAGGCGGCUCACUGGCUCGGUACUGACGCUGAGGUGCGAAAGCGUGGGGAGCAAACAGGAUUAGAAACCCCUGUAGUCC